UACGUAGGGUGCGAGCGUUGUCCGGAAUUAUUGGGCGUAAAGGGCUCGUAGGCGGUUUGUCGCGUCGGGAGUGAAAACUCAGGGCUUAACCCUGAGCCUGCUUCCGAUACGGGCAGACUAGAGGUAUGCAGGGGAGAACGGAAUUCCUGGUGUAGCGGUGAAAUGCGCAGAUAUCAGGAGGAACACCGGUGGCGAAGGCGGAUCUCUGGGCAUACCUGACGCUGAGGAGCGAAAGCUGGG
rnacentral:rRNA from 1 species